rnacentral:rRNA from 1 species
UUCGCAAUGCCCGAAAGGGUGACGAAGCGACGCCGCGUGUGGGAAGAAGGCCUUCGGGUUGUAAACCACUGUCGGGAGUUAAGAAAUGUAAGAAUGUUAAUAGCGUUCUUACUUGACAAAGGCUCCGGAGGAAGCCACGGCUAACUCUGUGCCAGCAGCCGCGGUAAUACAGAGGCGGCAAGCGUUGUUCGGAAUUAUUGGGCGUAAAGAGCACGUAGGCGGCCUUGCAAGUCAGUUGUGAAAGCCUUCUGCUUAACGGAAGAACAGCAGCUGAUACUACAGGGCUUGAGUGCGGAAGGGGAGAGUGGAACUUUUGGUGGAGCGGUGAAAUGCGUAGAUAUCAGAAGGAACGCCGGCGGCGAAAGCGGCUCUCUGGUCCGAAACUGACGCUGAGUGUGCGAAAGCUAGGGGAUCAAACGGGAUUAGAUACCCCGGUAGUCCUAGCCGUAAACGAUGGGCACUAAGUAGAGGGGUUUU